rnacentral:rRNA from 1 species
UAAGACGUAGGGUGCAAGCGUUGUCCGGAUUUACUGGGCGUAAAGAGCGCGUAGGCGGUCUGUUAAGUGUGAAGUGAAAUCUCCAGGGCUCAACCCGGAAACUGCUUCGCAUACUGGCAGGCUGGAGGAACGGAGAGGUGAGUGGAAUUCCUGGUGUACCGGUGAAAUGGGUUGAUAUCAGGAGGAACACCGAUGGCGAAGGCAGCUCACUGGCCGUUAUCUGACGCUGAGGCGCGAAAGCGUGGGUAGCAAACAGGAUUAGAUACCCUGGUAGUCCACGCCCUAAACGAUGGAUACUAGGCGUAAGAGGUAUCGACCCCUCUUGUGCCGCAGCUAACGCACUAAGUAUCCCGCCUGGGGAGUACGGCCGCAAGGUUG